AGACUUUCAUUAUAGGUGUGCAUC
rnacentral:siRNA from 1 species